GGGUCAGUAGGUUGGUCGUGCCACCGGUACGUACUGGUCUCACUGAUUCCUCCUUCCUGAAGAACCGUAAUGCCAUUAAUUUGGUGUUGCGGGGAAACAGGACUGUUACUUUGAAAAAAUUAGAGUGUUUAAAGCAAGCUAACGCUUGAAUACUUUAGCAUGGAAUAAUGAAAUAGGACAAUCGAUCCUAUUUUGUUGGUUUCUAGGAUUGACGUA
rnacentral:rRNA from 1 species